rnacentral:rRNA from 1 species
GACGAACUGUCCUAACGUUGCUCGGAAUCACUGGGCGUAAAGGGUGCGUAGGCGGGUCUUUAAGUCAGGGGUGAAAUCCUGGAGCUCAACUCCAGAACUGCCUUUGAUACUGAAGAUCUUGAGUUCGGGAGAGGUGAGUGGAACUGCGAGUGUAGAGGUGAAAUUCGUAGAUAUUCGCAAGAACACCAGUGGCGAAGGCGGCUCACUGGCCCGAUACUGACGCUGAGGCACGAAAGCGUGGGGAGCAAACAGGG